AUGGGAAACAUUUAGGUUUCUAAAAAUAACUAGGUAAAUUAUCUAUAACUGCAAAAAACAACAACAACAAAACAUACCUCCAGUUUCUUAAAGGAACAACAUUAGGCACUAUAACCAUUACAUCUCAGUGAAUUGGUAAACGUUCAUGGAGUAUCCCUCCAUUCUGUGUUAAAUGUUUUAGAGCAGUUUCUGAGUAUCUGUGUGUCCUUUUGUGUCAAUGUGUGUGUCUGUGAG